rnacentral:rRNA from 1 species
UACGUAGGGGGCUAGCGUUGUCCGGAAUCAUUGGGCGUAAAGCGCGCGUAGGCGGCCAGAUAAGUCCGGUGUGAAAGUCACAGGCUCAACCUGUGAAUGCCGCUGGAAACUGUCUGGCUAGAGUCCGGAAGGGGCGAGUGGAAUUCCUGGUGUAGCGGUGAAAUGCGGAGAUAUCAGGAGGAACACCAAUGGCGAAGGCAGCUCGCUGGGACGGUACUGACGCUGAGGCGCGAAAGCGUGGGGAGCGAACAGG